GGAGGUGUGGUGUAGUGGUUGAAUGUUAGACCAGGAUUCUAGGAGAUCAGGGUUCAAAUCCCUGCUGAGCCA